CAGAUUGAACGCGUGCUGCUACAUCUCGUUUAAUCUGCUGAUUGCUCGUCGCUCGUUGCAGUGCUGUUUCGUGACGGGCGCCGGGAAACUGGAGGCGAAGCUGCCGUCUGAAGCUGUGGUAAUGCAAAGUAACUGUCCCGCACAGUGACAAUGUCAAACAGAGGAAAGGCUUUCAUGAUGAUGUCAACGGGCCGGCUGUUUGUGCGACUCUUGCUGAUCCAUUCUAUUGAGCUCUGUGAAUGAGAGAGCAGCAGAAGCAAGAGGAGGAGGGGGGGCAGCAGGCUACUGUAAUGUGGAAAACACCGGUGCAUUUACAAUGAGGGACGUCAAUUUGCUGUGAUGAUUUUCCUGUCUUUCAGGCUCAAAUCGCUGUAGCACUUUGAUGUUAUAUAUUUUGUUCAGGUGUUUGCAGCUGCAGCGCAAAGUGAGUGCCUUUGUGCCUGUGUGUGUGUGUGUGUGUGUGUGUAUGGAAGUGUGUGUGGGAGUUUGUGCCAGCCGACCACUGUACAGUCAUGUAUCCUGCCGCAGCGGCGCCAGGUAGGGAGCAAGCACAGUCUGUGCUGGAGCAGAAAGAGAGACAGCAGGCCCGAGUCCGAUAGCGUAAGCUCGCUUGAACUAAGCCUCAGCCAUCUAAAAUGUUAUGAAGACGAGACACCAGGGCUCAUGGCACAGGGAAGGACUCUGUUCCUUGACAGCAUGCCGUUGUUGUGAUCAUCAAGGCGACCAGGCACAAUAUUGGAUCUAAGAGUGUUUCAUCAAAUUUCUCCACCAUAAUAGUGUUGAUUUACAUGCGACUGUGAAUCCUCUACAUGAAUAACAAAAGGAAGCUGAAAAGGAGGGAAGCGGGAACGCGUGCUUAUGGACUCGGUUUCAGUCAUGCUAGGCUUUGCAGUUCUGGCUUUGAUUCGCAGCCCAUUCUCCUAUAUGACUUGAGUGGACUAGCUGAGCUAAGACAUGAUUUCCAGAAGAUUGCAGUGUAAGUGCCUCUGGCAAGACC
rnacentral:lncRNA from 1 species